rnacentral:rRNA from 1 species
AUGUUUGGGUGUCAAGUGGGCACACUUCCCAUGAAAUAUCUGGGAGUCCCUGUUACUUAUUCUACCCUCAAGAAUGCGGAUCUAGAUUUCCUUGACGGAAAAAUGAUCAAAAAACUUCAUGCCUGGGUAGCAUAUGCAGCAUCUUCUGGAGCUAGACUAACGUUGCUAGGGUCCAGUUUGGAUGGAAUUCCCUCUUUCCUCAUGUCAAUGUUCCUUUUUAAUAAGACCUUUAUUGAGAAGCUGGAUAAACAUCGCAGACGUUUCUUUUGGAGGAGGAAAAAUAAGAAACAUGGAUACCAUAUGGUUAAGUGGACGAGGAUAUGUCGAUCGAAAAGGAUUGGGGGAUUAGGGAUUAAAGAUCUUCAUAAACAAAAUAUUGCCCUACUUGUUAAGUGGUGGUGGAAGUUAGAAACAAGUGAUGGGCUAUGGCAGCGUAUUGUAAGAGCUAGAUACUUCAGGAACAAAAUAGUGGCUACCAUUCGGAGCCGCUUUUCGGACUCUCCCUGCUGGAAAGCAAUUAUGAAGGUCAAGGAUUCUUAUAUGGCAGGAAGAAAAGUUAAAAUCGAAAGUGGAAACCUGGCUAGGGUCUGGUAUGAUCCGUGGGCUGAGAAUAUUACGUUGAAAGAUCACUUUCCUGAUCUAUUUGGUAUUUGCCAGGAGCAGGAAUGCACGGUUGCAUCUUGGGCGACUAACAACUAUGAGCUGGGCUUUAGACGUAGAUUGGUUGGGGUGUUGGGUGAGCAG